rnacentral:rRNA from 1 species
UAGGGAAUCUUCCGCAAUGGACGAAAGUCUGACGGAGCAACGCCGCGUGAGUGAUGAAGGUUUUCGGAUCGUAAAACUCUGUUGUUAGGGAAGAACAAGUUGGGUAGUAACUGACCCAACCUUGACGGUACCUAACCAGAAAGCCACGGCUAACUACGUGCCAGCAGCCGCGGUAAUACGUAGGUGGCAAGCGUUGUCCGGAAUUAUUGGGCGUAAAGCGCUCGCAGGCGGUCUUUUAAGUCUGAUGUGAAAGCCCACGGCUUAACCGUGGAGGGUCAUUGGAAACUGGAGGACUUGAGUACAGAAGAGGAGGGUGGAAUUCCACGUGUAGCGGUGAAAUGCGUAGAGAUGUGGAGGAACACCAGUGGCGAAGGCGACUCUCUGGUCUGUAGCUGACGCUGAGGAGCGAAAGCGUGGGUAGCGAACAGG